rnacentral:tRNA from 1 species
CCGACCUUAGCUCAGUUGGUAGAGCGGAGGACUGUAGUCGGUUCAGACAUCCUUAGGUCGCUGGUUCGAAUCCGGCAGGUCGGA